CUACUUACCUGGCAGGGGGAGAUCCUUUGAUUAUGAAGGUGGUUUUCCCCAGGACCAGGCUUAUCCACUGCACCCAUUGCAGGGGUUGUGCUACCCCUGCAAUUUCCCCAAGCGCGGGAAACUCAACUACAUACUUUGUGGUAGUGGGGGACUGCAUUUAUGCUCCCCUCU